CGGGGUGUAGCUCAGCUUGGUAGAGCACUAACUUCGGGAGUUAGGGGCCGGAGGUUCGAAUCCUCUCAUCCCGACCA
rnacentral:tRNA from 3 species